AUUGAACGCUGGCGGCAUGCUUUACACAUGCAAGUCGAGCGGCAGCGCGGGGGCAACCCUGGCGGCGAGCGGCGCACGGGUGAGUAAUACAUCGGAACGUGUCCUUUCGGUGGGGGAUAACCAGUCGAAAGACUGGCUAAUACCGCAUGAGAUCUCACGAUGAAAGCGGGGGACCCGAGGGUAACUUCGGGCCUCGCGCGAUUGGAGCGGCCGAUGUCGGAUUAGCUAGUUGGCGGGGUAAAAGCCCACCAAGGCGACGAUCCGUAGCUGGUUUGAGAGAACGACCAGCCACACUGGGACU
rnacentral:rRNA from 1 species